GUUUUGACUAGUCCCAAAUAGGACGAAACGCGCGUCCUGGAU
rnacentral:hammerhead_ribozyme from 1 species